AUCUAAGAUAGCUGUUGUUAUUGAUCUUAAUCUAUUGAUUGCGUUUAUUGUUUUGUGUCGGGUUUCUUGCCUUUUGCAUCAUGCUUAUUGGAUUUUUUUAACUAAUUGUUUUAUACUGAAAAGUUUUGAUCUCGUAUUUGAUUGUUUUGAACUUAGAUUUUUUUAGGUUAAAUUAUUUAAAUUUGAUGCGUGAAGUGAUAAAUUAUUCGUAUAACUUUAUAGCCGUUUAACUGUAUUUGAUUUCUUUUCACGCAUUGGGUUAUAAUAUCUUAUGUGUUACUAUACCGUGUUUUUUUUGUAUUUUUGUAAUUAGGUUAAAAUUACCUAUUUAUUAGAAGUUUGUUGUAAGUUUGUUUAUUUGUUUUAAUGCGGUUUGUUUUGUUUACAGUUUUUUAUAAAAUUUUAGAUUAUAUUUAUCAGUGAAUAAGUAAUUCAAGUGUUUUAGUUAUUUCUUGAAGUUUGUCUGUCUGUUUAUUAAAAACAUUUCUAAUUUUAAUUUUAAUUAGUAGUACCUGCUCUAUGUUUAGUAUAAAUGGCCGCAGUAUAUUGACUGUGCUAAGGUAGCAUAAUUAAUUGCCUUAUAAUUGAGGGCUUGUUUGAAUGGUUUGACAAGAUAAUUUGAAUAUCUAAUACUUUAUUGAAAUUGUUUUUGAGGGCACAGAAACCUCAUUUUUUAAUUAGACGGAAAGACCCCGGGAACUUGUUUAUUUUGCCUGGGGCAGGUUUUAUUUUUUUAAUUAAAUUAUGACCCUUUUGAGUUUAUUGGUUUAAGUUACCCCGGGGAUAACAGUGUAAUGAUUAAUUAGAGGUCUUAUCGAAUUAAUUGAUUGCUACCUCGAUGUUGACUUAGAUAUAUAGUUUUGGCGCAGUUGUUUAGACUUUUGGUCUGUUCGACCUUAUAUAUCUCCAUGAGUUGAGUUAAGACCGGCGUGAGCCAGGUCGGUUCUUAUCUAUUGGUGUGAUCUAUUAGUACGAAAGGAUUGUAGAUCUUUUUUUU
rnacentral:rRNA from 1 species